GGGUCAGUAGGUUGGUCGUGCCACCGGUACGUACUGGUCUCACUGAUUCCUCCUUCCUGAAGAACCGUAAUGCCACUAAUUUGGUGUUGCAGGGAAACAGGACUGUUACUUUGAAAAAAUUAGAGUGUUUAAAGCAAGCUAACGCUUGAAUACAUUAGCAUGGAAUAAUGAAAUAGGACGAUCGAUCCUAUUUUGUUGGUUUCUAGGAUUGACGUG
rnacentral:rRNA from 1 species